AUGGAACUAAGGUUCCGACGACGACAAGCUAGCACUGUGUUAUUGGUGGUGGUAGCGGAUGGUGAUGGCAUAAGGUUUUAGGGUUCUGGUGUUCAAGUGACAUCAGAGACGGUGAGGGAAACAAUUUACAUCUUUUUCAUUGCCAAGCAUCAGGGUUUCUCGACCUUCAGUCUCCAAAAUGUUAUCACUAAGUGGCAAAGACAUAAACAUGUAGUAUAGUAUUUGGGUCCAUGGUUGUUGUAUUUCAGCUUGUUGACAGAUUGGAUGAAGGGAUUAUUUCACCAGAUCUUGGAACACUUGAUUACAAAGGUCUUUACAAGACAAUGUGUGUGAUGUGGUUGAAGUGGCCGGGCGAAUCGUUAUGUCAACAACAUUAACUGUUACAGCCGAUCUUACUCAUAAGCAAGGGUGGAUGUUGCGGGGCAUGAAAUCGGGAUAGCGUGGGCAGUUUUCAAGAUCCAGAAGGCAGAGCGUUCUGAAACCGACGAAUCUCAUGAAAGCUCCAAGUCGGCUUCCUCCAAAUCAUAGUCGUGAAUGAGCCAUGGUUCUUGAUAUAUCUAACUACUAAUAAACUGUAACCAGUUUAAUGUAAUUAUUACUAAUAAACUGUAACUAAUUUGAUGUAUGUAAUUACUAAGUUGGGUUUGUCCAAAUAUAUGUAAAUACCAUGAAACAGGAUAUGAGGA
rnacentral:lncRNA from 1 species